rnacentral:misc_RNA from 1 species
UUAAAAGAACUAGAGUGCACUUUAUUGUGGCUCAACCCCUUUUAAAAAUACCACCCAAAACUAUUUAACACUUGGUUGCAUGACUUGUAAAAAGAGUCAUUGCAAUUGAGUAAAAGUAACUUCUUGUUUUUACAAGAAUGUUACAUUACCCCCCCCUUUAUUUUUUCCCCUUUUUUUUUAAUAUUACACAAGUUUAAAUGAAUGUAAAAAACCCUUUAAUUUAUAAAA